GGUCAUUUAGAGGAAGUAAAAGUCGUAACAAGGUCUCCGUUGGUGAACCAGCGNAGGGAUCAUUACCGAGUUUACAACUCCCAAACCCCUGUGAACAUACCAAUUGUUGCCUCGGCGGAUCAGCCCGCUCCCGGUAAAACGGGACGGCCCGCCAGAGGACCCCUAAACUCUGUUUCUAUAUGUAACUUCUGAGUAAAACCAUAAAUAAAUCAAAACUUUCAACAACGGAUCUCUUGGUUCUGGCAUCGAUGAAGAACGCAGCAAAAUGCGAUAAGUAAUGUGAAUUGCAGAAUUCAGUGAAUCAUCGAAUCUUUGAACGCACAUUGCGCCCGCCAGUAUUCUGGCGGGCAUGCCUGUUCGAGCGUCAUUUCAACCCUCAAGCCCAGCUUGGUGUUGGGACUCGCGAGUCAAAUCGCGUUCCCCAAAUUGAUUGGCGGUCACGUCGAGCUUCCAUAGCGUAGUAGUAAAACCCUCGUUACUGGUAAUCGUCGCGGCCACGCCGUUAAACCCCAACUUCUGAAUGUUGACCUCGGAUCAGGUAGGAAUA
rnacentral:rRNA from 1 species